AUCGCUUCUCGGCCUUUUGGCUAAGAUCAAGUGUAGUAUCUGUUCUUAUCAGUUUAAUAUCUGAUAUGUCUCUUAUCCGGGGAUCAUAUAUUAAAUUGAUAUUUGGAACAGGGACAUGGAAUAGGGGCUUGCUCCGUCCGCUCCACGCAUCGACCUGGUAUUGCAGUACUUCCAAGAACGGUGCACCUCCA
rnacentral:snRNA from 1 species